rnacentral:rRNA from 1 species
CAUUGAGGUGCGAANGCNUGGGUAGCAACCAGGAUUAGAUACCCUGGUAGUCCACCCNGUAAACGAUGUCAACUAGCCGUNGGGUCCCCUUGAGGANUUAGUGGCGCAGCUAACGCAAUAAGUUGACCGCCUGGGGAGUACGGCCGCAAGGUUAAAACUCAAAUGAAUUGACGGGGGCCCGCACAAGCGGUGGAGCAUGUGGUUUAAUUCGAUGCAACGCGAAGAACCUUACCUACCCUUGACAUCCAGAGGACUUUCCAGAGAUGGAUUGGUGCCUUCGGGAACUCUGAGACAGGUGCUGCAUGGCUGUCGUCAGCUCGUGUUGUGAAAUGUUGGGUUAAGUCCCGUAACGAGCGCAACCCCUAUCCUUAUUUGCCAGCGAGUAAUGUCGGGAACUCUAAGGAGACUGCCGGUGACAAACCGGAGGAAGGUGGGGACGACGUCAAGUCAUCAUGGCCCUUACGGGUAGGGCUACACACGUGCUACAAUGGCAAGUACAAAGGGUUGCAAUACGGCGACGUGGAGCCAAUCCCAUAAAGCUUGCCUCAGUCCGGAUUGGAGUCUGCAACUCGACUCCAUGAAGUCGGAAUCGCUAGUAAUCGUGGAUCAGAAUGCCACGGUGAAUACGUUCCCGGGCCUUGUACACACCGCCCGUCACACCAUGGGAGUGGACUGCACCAGAAGUGGUUAGCCUAACCUUCGGGAGGGCGAUCACCACGUNGUUC